UCCAACCCCUUGUGGAGGAGGACGCCGAAGGUGGGGCUGAUGACUGGGGUGAAGUCGUAACAAGGUAGCCGUACCGGAAGGUGCGGCUGGAUCACCUCCUAA
rnacentral:rRNA from 1 species